UUUAUUUACAACAAUUUUGGCUUGAAAAUCAAAGUUAAUAUAUGAUAUAUGAUAUUUCUUAGUUAAAGGCCAUUAUGGAUUCAUUAAACAAAUAGAAAAAGCACUCAGCAAAUGUUAAGUGAACACUGCAGUUUUCAAGGAUGCAAUGAUGUCAGAGGCGGGCACCAUGCUAUGCAGGGGUUCUGUUUCCAUUUCAGCUUCAUCAUGUUAGGAGGUCCUUCCAACUCUUAUUGAGAGUAUUUUCCAGAGAACAAAAGGAAAACCAUACUGUUCAAGAAUACCUGUUUCCUUCAUAACUUUUCUGUUUCAGGAUUUCUUCUGGAGACAUGGUCAUUUGACCUGAAACUCAGAGUGUGCUUGAAGCCCUUUGAGGAGACAAGAACAGCAGAGUCAGCACUCCUGUCUCUGAAGAUGCAAAUUCUUGGGCUACUGUUCCCUGGACUGUCUGUUUUCUCUGGCUAUGGAGGGGUAGAGAGUGUGUCUAUAAAUGGAAGACCAUGGAUGCCCUUAUGUCUCAAAUGAGGAAAUUUUCUUCUUUGUAUCAGAAUUACUUUAGAUCAUCAGCUUUGAGAACCUAGCAUAAGUCAUUGUUUCAGAAGGUGUAGGAUUGCAGAACACUGAUUUCUUUCCCCUCUGAGGUCCUUGGUUGGCUUCAGAGUGCUCUUCAUUUUCAUCG